CCUCAUUUUCAAACUCCUUGGAAUGUUGAAUACGCCAUUUUCUCAAAAUGGAAAGAGUGCGGAAACAUGCUACUGAAGGUGAAACUUGGUGAUGCCCAAUAGUUUGUUAGAAUAACGGAGCCAAAUCUGUCAGACUUUUUGAAUGCAGCAUUUGCCAAAUUUGGUGUCCCAGCUGUAAUGGAAGGUGUUAAGAGUCGUUGACAGUUCAGGGACUGAGUUGGAUGAUGAUGUCUUUGAGGACAUCAUAAAAGAUCCCUCCACUGGGGUGCUAACCAUUACAUAUGAACGAGAAUUUGUCUCCAUGGGAGCCUCAACUGAGUCCCAGGUUUCAUCUGUUGCUUCAUCAGACUCUGAUACAAUUAUCCUUCCAGACAGCCCUUCCAGAAAGCGUCGGAGGCUGGAUUCGGAAGCUAAGCAAUACAUCUCCACCCAGACAGGUGAAAGAAAUGUAUGUGCGAGGAAUUGUGAACUUCUUUCCCUAGCUCAGAGACCCAUUCUCCAAGUAUGGCUAUGGAGCAUUAUUAUGAUGGUGACAGUGGCACUGGGUACUUGGCCUGGAGACUUAAACUGUUCAGAGAUGCAGUGCUAAAGACAGGCCAUCUUUAUUUGGAGCAUCAGCAGGAGGACCAUCUGGUGAAGACAUGUCGGGAGGACCAACUAUCAGACGAGUUUCCCAAUUCGUUCCAGAGACUGUCCUCGGUGAAGAUGAGUGCAAGGAAGCGAUCUCACUGAUGAAACAUUCAGCUGUUGAGGACAUGGUCAGGAAGAAGAUGAAGCUGACAUUUGUCCAUCGACGCAACAUGGUCCUUGACCCACAGCAGUCACAUGGCAUACUAUCUGAUUUUCCACGCUUCAAAGACAUCAAAGGCUUGGUUGAACAGGAUUUUGUUCUGAUGUUUGGUGAGGAUGUAUCAGACAAGUUUCUGGAGAAGUGGCCAACCACAUUCAAGAAAAAGAUCAUUCAACAAUGCAGAAAGCUUCCCUCCAUCAGUGAGCUUGAGGACCUCCUGCUGGCAGCUGAUCCUCCUGAGGAUAGGGCUGAAGUGGAUGUUGACUUUGUUACAGGUUGGGACAGGGACCUCUCAUCCAUUUUACUGCUCUUACACUUGAUUCCACCUACUGCUCUGGGUGGAAAGAGACCAGGAAAGGUGUCUGUGUCCCAGGCUGAGAAGCAUCUUGUGGUCUUCAAGAAGACUGGAACAAGCAUUCAAGAGCAUCUUGAUGCCAUUACUACGAGCUCUCAACCUUAUCUUUUGGCUGUUGGAACGAGGAAGAACGCUAUCCACCAGUUCUUCGUCAUUCUCAACUAGAAUGCCAUACCUUGCAGGUCAUCCUCUUCUCUUGGUGCUUUUGAUGAACUGUUUAAGACACAUUUUGUGUUUGGGACAUCAUACAACACCAUGCUCCACAACAUGUACGUGUUCAUCCACACCACUGUGGACAACAUUGAUGUCGGCAAAGUCAAAGAGAGUCCUCGUGUUGCAGAAGUAAGGGCGAGGUUGCGUCUGUAGUGUUUGACAUUGGUCUUCCAUCAUGAAGUGUUUUGUUUGUCAGGCUGAGUUAACUAGUUCAAACAUGCUUGUUCGACAUUUACGACUAGUUCAUGGUUACCUGCCUGGAAAAAAUCUAAGCCUUAAAUGCGUUCAAACUGGAUGCGGCCGUGUGUUUGGUACUUUUUCUGGUUUUAGGAAGCAUUUGAACACCAAACACACUGAGUGUGCUGAACAACAGAUUGACAACAAUGUUGACUUAAACAGGGUAGACGAGGCAGCGACAAUUAAUGUCAGCCACAACAUCUGAGUCAAGAAACUCUAAUAGUUGUCUGGAUAUGUGUGCCAAUGCUGUUGCACAACUUAAGGCAGCUGGAUUAAAUCAGUCUACUCUAAAUAGUUUUGUCUCAUCUAUGGAGGAAGUGUUUUUUGAGAUUCAUAGUCAGGCAAAAGAUGCAGCUAUGCAUACAGUGUUUAUCUCCACAGGACACAGACAGUAAGGACAAAUUAGACAUUUUCUGUUUAGAUGCUCUUAUUCUGGAGGGAGGAACAGCCACACAGUUUGAAUUUGCACAGGUGGUGCAGAAGUGGCUGCGCUAUGCACCGGAUAGGGCAGGGGGGACUGGACGCUCUAAAUUCCCUAUGCAACCGACUUCUUGAGACUUUUGUUCUUCUCUUUUGUUCUUCUUGUUCUUCUCUUUUGUUGAUGUAGAAAUAAUUCUGGAAUUCCUGAAUAAGUUGCUAGAGGGAAGGUGGGACAUCACACACAUCACACAAAGACAACGCGUGCGCGCACGCACACACACACACACACACACACUCCCCACCCCCCACACACACUCCUGAAGUUGUUCCUUUUUCAUUCGUUUGUUUGUUUUGUAAAAAAAAUUCAAUUAGCAUAAAUUGUAAUAAAAGUUCUUUUGUAUUUUAAA